UAGCGUAGGCAGCAGGCGUUGUUCGGAAUUACUGGGGCGUAAAGAGUGUGUAGGCGGUGCUCCAAGUCUGGUGUGAAAUCUCCCGGCUUAACUGGGAGGGUGCAUUUAGAAACUGGAAUGCUAGAGGAUGGGAAGAGGUAAAGGCGGAAUUCCUGGAUGUAGCGGUGAAAUGCGUAGAUAUCAGGAGGAACACCUGUGGUGUAGACAGCUUACUGGACCAUUCUGACGCUGAGACACGAAAGCGUGGGUAGCAAACAGGAUAGAUACC
rnacentral:rRNA from 1 species